rnacentral:rRNA from 1 species
UACGUAGGGCGCGAGCGUUGUCCGGAAUUAUUGGGCGUAAAGAGCUCGUAGGCGGCCUGUUGCGUCCGCUGUGAAAUCCCGGGGCUCAACCCUGGGCGUGCAGUGGAUACGGGCAGGCUGGAGGCAGGCAGGGGAGAACGGAAUUCCCGGUGUAGCGGUGAAAUGCGUAGAUAUCGGGAGGAACAUCAGUGGCGAAGGCGGCCCUCUGGUCCAGUACUGACACUCAAGUGCGAAAGCGUGGGGAGCAAACAGG